UACGUAGGGUGCAAGCGUUGUUCGGAAUUACUGGGCGUAAAGGGCUCGUAGGCGGCCAACUAAGUCAGACGUGAAAUCCCUCGGCUUAACCGGGGGACUGCGUCUGAUACUGGAUGGCCUGAGAUUGGGAGAGGGAUGCGGAAUUCCAGGUGUAGCGGUGAAAUGCGUAGAUAUCGGGAGGAACACCAGUGGCGUAAGCGAUUACCUGGGCUAGACCUGACGCUGAGGGACGAAGGCGUGGGAAGCAAACGGG
rnacentral:rRNA from 1 species